GCCCUGCUGGCGCAAUGGUAGCGCGCAAGACUUCUAUUUUCCGCGACUUUGUGUUGUGAGAAGAAGAAAUCUCAUCGUGAGAAUUCAGAGAUCUUGAGGCUGUGGGUUCGACCCCCACGUAGGGCU